AUUGAACGCUGGCGGAAUGCUUUACACAUGCAAGUCGAGCGGCAGCGCGGGGCAACCUGGCGGCGAGCGGCGAACGGGUGAGUAAUACAUCGGAACGUGCCCAGACGUGGGGGGAUAACUACUCGAAAGAGUGGCUAAUACCGCAUACGAUCUACGGAUGAAAGCGGGGGAUCGCAAGACCUCGCGCGUCUGGAGCGGCUGAUGGCAGAUUAGGUAGUUGGUGGGAUAAAAGCCUACCAAGCCAACGAUCUGUAGCUGGUCUGAGAGGAUGAUCAGCCACACUGGGACUGAGACACGGCCCAGACUCCUACGGGAGGCAGCAGUGGGGAAUUUUGGACAAUGGGCGAAAGCCUGAUCCAGCCAUUCCGCGUGCAGGAUGAAGGCCCUCGGGUUGUAAACUGCUUUGUACAGAACGAAAAAGCUCUGGCUAAUACCUGGAGUCCAUGACGGUACUGUAAGAAUAAGCACCGGCUAACUACGU
rnacentral:rRNA from 1 species